GCGUUGUUGGAGCAGUGGUAUAAACCGUCGAUUUUUCGAUAGUAACAGCACGGGUUCGAAUCCCGUAUUGUACA